AAUAAUCUUCAUCAUAUGUUGACAAGGUAUGUGAAAACCAGAGUUUUAAGUAGAUCCAACCAGUUAUGUUUUAAACCAUACAUCUCUUUAUUUUUGCAAGGAUAUCUCUGUAGAUUCGGAUCCGAGCCAAUCAUACGCUUUUGAAAUCUGUGGAGAGAUCUUACAAGAAAACUACAAGAUCUAGCUUAUACCACUUUCAAUGCAACAUUGUGGUGUACUCUUCAUGGUAGAGACCGGUUCUGAACUUACUCGGGAGCUUGCUCAUCAGAUUGGGGAGGAAACUAUCAAGUUUUCCAAGUAUCUAGGAUUGGGGUGCUUUCUAUAGUGGGUGGUCAGUCGAUUGAAGAACUGUGUUUUAAGAUGAUAACACAAGGGUGUGAAUAUUGUGAUUUCCACUCCUGGUUGUUUGAUUGAUACGGUAUGAUGUGGUCAGUCCGUGCAACGAUCUGAUUCUUGAUGAGGCAGAUCAGAUAAUAGACAUGGGCUUAAUCCUCAAGUUGUUGGUGUGUUAGAUGUUAUGGCUUCAGGAAAUUUGAAACCCUAUAACAAAGAAGAGCUGGACGAAGUAAUUGAGACAAUAUUACAAACCCAAAAAUUAAUAUUUUUAAAACCGGACCGGAUACCGACUCGGUAAGCUACUGGUUAAGUGGUCGGACCGGUUCAACCGGUCGAACCGGAUUUUCUAUUUAAAAAUAAAUAAAUCUAAAUUAUCAUAUAUUUAUACUAUAUAGACCUAAACUGUAGUUCUACAUAUAAUAUGUCUAUGUUCUCUUUUAUUAAUUAGAUAAUAAACAAUAACCUUAAGUUUAGUUAUAUAUAUAAGUGAAUACUAUAUCAACUAAAAUUGAUUUAAAAAAAUGAAUAACCGUUUAAAUUACAUAUUUAUUUAUUUUUACAACUAAAAGUCUGAAAUUUUAUGAAUAUAGAAAAAUGAGAAUAAAAUAUGAGAAUCAAAAAGAGAUUUUUUUAAAAAAAAUUCUUAAAAAAGAAUCAAGAGAAAACUAAUUAAAUAGUAAAAAUUAAAAUUAAUUAUGAAAUAUUAUAUUUUAAUAAAAAUUGAAAAUACGUUAAUUAUAUGUUGAUUUCUAUUGAACCGGGUUUUGAAGUUGAACCGGGUCAUCGGUUUUACCGGUUUUUAGCCAGUUUCACCGGUUUUUUCUCAAAUCCGGGUUUUAAACCGACCGGACUCGGCUUAUUUAACGAAUAUAAAAACUCAUUUACUAUUAAAUCUAUAAUCAAAUUCAAUCAUAGUAAUUUACAACGACUAUAUAACUUGAAAAUUAAAUUAUAUUAAAUGAUUUAAAUUUCAAACUCUAUAUAGUAAUUCAUAUUUCCAAUAUUUAGACCUCCUUUGUUAUCCACAAAACCCUUUCAAUUACUUUUGUCAAAAUAGUCGAAUUGUUUACUUAGAUUUACAAUGCCCGACAUAGCAACCAAGCGAUGAUACAAUCCAAUAAAGAAGAGACUUACACGGAGUUUUUUUCCCAGCUAAGCCAGGUACGAACUUUUUUAUAUAAAUAACACUACUAUUGUAUUUACCUAAAUUUAUGCUAACUAACUUAUUCUUAACCAAUUUCAGAUCAUUUCUUUUUUAUGAACCUCAACACAACUUCUGAUCUGCAAAAGACUUAAUCUGUUUCUUACAUUAUUUAUCUUACUUAGCUACUCUUUUAGCUUUUAAACAAUUGCGUAACCUCGAUAUUCACUAAUUUUCAGACAUUUUGAAAAAUACAAUGCUUCCAUUUCAAACAAAAACUUUGAAACUUAUAAUUAAACAUCGACUAUCAAAACACUUUUCCGCGCAUCGCGGAGAAAAGACCUAGUUUAUAUAAUAGUAGGGAAAACCUAGUGGCAAGACAUUAAUACUAAUAUAUUAAAGUAUCCUUUCAUGAGCAAAAGUUAGUAUAAUUAUACUAUUAUUUAUAUGUAAAUGGUUCGAACAUUGAACAUUGAAUAUUGAAUAUUAUUUAUAUUAUUAAAGUAUCCUAGUUUCGUUUGUGUUUCUGAGAACGUGCAGAUUUUCUCAUGAAACAGAUGUGUGCAUUGGAUAAAUUUUCAAACCAAACCCACUAACUAUAAAUUUGCAAACUAAACCCACGAAUUAUUGGGCUAAGGAACGUCAAUAGCGUAUUUAUUAGAAGCGAAGUCAUGGGUAUGGGAUAUGUUAAACGACCGAGUUUAAUUCUAGUGGCAUAAAUAUGUAAUUAUUUAGGAAAAAUCAGGAUUAAUUACUAUUUGUACUUCAGUUUUAAUAGUUUAAAUACUGAUCAAAAUUCUCAAAAGAUAACAUGCUCAAUUGGCUACAUCCAAUAUCAGUUUAUCCACAAUUUUUUCAAAUGUGAUAAAUUCAAAUUCGAAUUUUUAAGCUCAAGAUAGACGCUAGUUUCAUAUAACUGGCUCAUGAAAAAGACUUAUAAAUACUCUAGACAAAGAUGGUUCAACAACCACGAGGGAGUGGAAAGUGUAUUGAUGGAGCCAAGAACUUAUGAUGCAGUUUUCACCAUUGCAAACUAAGUUUGAAGUUUAUCUGAAAAAUAGAUUGUAUAAUUUCCCUACCGCAAACAAAAUUUUCUUUCAUGACAAAUUGUAUGAAAUUUGUGAAUGAGAUGCAUUCACAAUUCAUCUGAAGGAGUUUCAGAGAUUUAAGAACUUAUACAUUUUUUCACUCGUUUAUACCAUACGCAAACGAUAUACUGACUGAUAAGUUGGCAAAAAUAUGUUUGUAUUCUUAGUAACAUAUUUUCAUGUAGAUUAUAUAUUCCUUGUCAGGUUAUAUAAACAUAAUAUAACUUUCUAUAUACAUGUAAAAUAAAUUUCCAUAUACAAAAUACGUAAAUGAUAAACAUAAAAUUAGUUUGAGUGAAAAUGAAGGGGAUAACCAAAUGGUGGUAGCUAACUUACGGUAUGGUGUAAAUCUGUCUGCUCUCAGUUCAAUUACUACUUGAAACAAAGUUGAUGCUACUUUACCGGUCUAGGUUUAGGGCUUGUUUUUUUUAUGGAUAAUGAUUAACGAAGAUAACACAAUGAUAUCUAUUUAAACAUACUUUCUAAAGAGAGAAAACAAACUUUUUUUGAACUCUUAGUUUUUAUUAAUGAACCAUCAUACACAGAGGAGUCCCUCGAUAGAACUAAAUGAAGCAUGGAUGCCUCCGUUUUUAAAAGGCUUCCAUUUCUAAAAUUUCAUUAUAAUUUUUCAGGGAAAAAAAUAACAAUGUAAAUAGAAGUAAAAUCAGACCCACUAUUAAUAUGUCACUGACAAACAAAAAAAAAAUUAAAAUACAUCCACAGUUAGAUAGAUCCCCAAAAUGUUUUUUUUUGUUUAUAGCCUCCAUAUCUGCAGAAACGCUACAUAUUUAUACAUAAAGCAACAACAUAAUGGUGAAAGCUAUCAGGUAUCUCCACCAGUCUAUUCUUCAAUUGUGUUUACACAAAUAUCAAGCUUUGAUAUAUGACUAACUUGUUCUGAACAGUACUUGACUUGAUCACUUGCUUCUUAUAUACUUGCUUGUCUUUGAUGUGAUCUUGUCCUUCCAAUUUGAUAAGAGAUAACUAAGUAGUAUACACAUACUUAUUGGACACUAAUUUCCCCCCUUUACAGUGUUGAAACAUUCGUGAGUUUGCUGGUAAAACUAUUUCCCUUCUGGUUCAGAGUUUAACCAAGUUAUACUUUUUUAUGUAUUUCACCAAAUUUAGUCAGAGUGACGAAUUUGUACUAGCUCUUGCACUUCAGAUGGGUUGUAUGUUGUUACUCAUUGGGAUCUUCUUCUCUGAGUGAUUACCACACUCAAUUGAUCCUUGAAGGCCUCCAAUUUUAUCCUCACUUUGCUCAUUCUGGACUGCGAAUAGAAGCUUGUCUCACUCAAGCUUAUCCUUAGAUUAUACUGAUUCACAUUGUACCACCAUAGGAGUUUCUCCUCCUGUCACUCAAUUUACCUCCUUCGGAUAGUUGUUUAUCCUCAUUUCAAAAGAAGGUAGAAAAAGGAGUCAUUGCAUCCAAUGUAUUAAGAAGAUAGUAUCUGAAUCUCACCAAGGAACAUUGGUUUUGAAGCACCAUUUAGAACAUUACCCAAAAAACAAAAGUGAUAAGUAAUGAACAUGAGUGUGAUCACAAAGGAGAUCGUUUUAUGAUUAGAUAUUAUUAUCUACCAUGAUCAGCUUUUUCAAUAUGUCGAAUAUGAAAAGGUUAGGACUAGGUUAUCUAAACCGUCAGCAUAUAUGUAGGUAACCAACUAAAGAUGACAUAUAUAAAAGAUUUGAAGAAGAGAAAGAAAAGCUGAAAAAUGUAUUAACGUAUUAUACAAGAUUUGAAUAUUCCUUACGUUAGAUGUGUUAUAUUAAUGUGUAAACAAUCUAUGGUUUUUGGAGAGUUUGGUUAUAUCUUAGUUUUCUUUGUUUGCGUUCAUUUUGGUAAAAGUGUCAUCAACUAUGAUUAUAUGUAAAAUUUUGAUUAGUUUUUGGUAAAAAUCUUUUACAAUAUUAAUUAAUUUAAAAGAACCAUAAAUUAUAAGAUUAAAUAUGAACUUGAAAGCUGAGAAUAAUAAGAAAGAAACUCAUGAAAGAAUAAUCGAAAAUUUAAAUUAUAUCUACCUGUAUUCAAGAUUAAUUUAGUCAAAAUUAAUCACAAAAAUAAAUUAAAACAAAGAAUUAGGGUAAGUAUGGAUAACUUUAAAAUUACAUAGUUUCCGGUUUCUCCUACUAAAUACAUAAGAUUUUAGAUUGUAUUUUUAUUUUUAUGGAGAAUUAGAAUAGAGAGAUUUUUACUUAUGACAACAUUUCAAAUGAGUAUUCCACUUCAUUGAGUUAAAUGGUAGAACUUUAAGGAAUUUAUCUGAAUAAACCAACUCUGUAAUUUUAUUUCAAAAAUGACAAUCGAGUUGAAGUCAAAACUGAAUUCUAUAAAACUUUAAUCUUAUCGCGAAUGAUGUAUAUAUAUUGAAAGAAAGCAAUCUAUAAAACUGAAUAUUAUUAUGGACAACAAAAAUCUACUUUCUGUUAUCCCUUAUAUACUAAAACGCAAGUCGCUUGGCGAAUCAAAUUCUGACAAGUGGAAUUAAAAAAAAAAAUUAAAACAAGAUAAUGCUUAGAAGAAAAAAAUUGUCCGUUUUACCAAUCACUAAAAACUACCCACCAAUUUUCUUUGCCCAUGAUCUUUCUUUGCCAAUUCUCUUAUAUCUCUCAAAUUCCUCUUAUAUUAGAUAAAAAAAAUGUCAGGGAAACCUACCCCGAUAGAUCAAAAAACAGAUUAUGAAAGACUUAUAUAUUCUCCUUCUUCAAUUUCAAAAUCUUAAUUCAUAAUUAGGAUUAUAUUGAAUGUAUCCAGUGCUCAUAUCAAUUUCUAAGUAUGUGUCUCAACACCAUAUAUUUGCCAGUCCUUACUACGGCGGAGCACGACCUUGCUUCGUUGGAACCCAUUUAGAACUAUAAAAUUUUGAGAACUUGUGGCCAUGGUGAAUUUGAAGAGCUGGAAAUUCGACUUGAGCAAAGAGACUUAAAAAAGAGAAAGAAAGAAAGAGGAGGAAGAUAGAAGUCAAUCACAAAUGCAUGCAAGCAUUUGUAAAAUCAGAAGAAGGGUUUUUGAUAAAAGGUAAUUUCUCUUCGUGUGUAUACUUUUUUGUUCUUUUUCGUGUGUAUACUUUACGUAUAUAAUUUUGGUUAAAAGAAAUUGAAAUAUGGAAAAUCAUUAUGCUCAUGCCUUCAUCAAAAUGAUGGGUGGCUGUCCAUUGAUAUUUGUAAUACUUUCUUUUUUCUAACUAAAAUGUAUACAAGUCUUUUACUAUGAUGAUGUCAAAUUAACAUGUCAAUAAAAAAAAAAAAUAUAUAUAUAUAUAUAUAUAUAUUCAACAUA